GGAACUCUUGUGUGCUCUUUUUGUACUAAUGUGGAAACUGCUAACCAUCUUUUUUUCGCUUGCCCUCUCGCCCGCACAGUUUGGGGGGUGCUGGGGUUGACUGUUGGGGCUUCCUGUGCUCCCAGAUCAAUCUGGCAAAGUCUGGCUUGGAUGUACAAUUUGCUUCCCGGAGGCAAAAAAUUCUACAUGAUGAUCAUUGCUGCAGUGUGCUGGGGGAUUUGGUGCCUUCGCAACAAAACUACUUUUGAUAAGUAUAAUGCUCGUUCUCCGCUGGAGGCUGUCUUCACCGCUUGCUCUUUUAUGUUAUACUGGGCAGGGCUGCUUAAGGAGGAUGAUAGGAGGAAAUUCCAGGAUGGUGUGAAGAGGCUGGCUCAUGUGGCAGCGGCACUGGCGGACAGGCCUUAUGCGCGUGGCAGGCUUCUUCUCGGAGAUGAAGAUGGCAUACAGAUUGGUUAG
rnacentral:rRNA from 1 species